rnacentral:rRNA from 1 species
GACGAACGCUGGCGGCGUGCCUAAUACAUGCAAGUAGGACGCAGUUGCGAACGGGUGAGUCACGCGUAGGUAACUGCCUAUUAGAAGGGGAUAACUAUUGUAAACGAUAGCUAAUACCGCAUACUAGUAGAUGAACCUGCGUUGUAUUAGCUAGUAGGUAGGGGAAUGGCCUACCUAAGAGACGAUACCUAGCCGACCGUAGAGGGGUAUAGGCCAAACGUGGGAUGAUACAAGGCCCAGACUCCUACGAGAGGCAGCAGUAGGGAAUCAGUGGCAAUGGGGGGAAACAUGACCGAGCAACGCCGAGUGAGUGAAGAAGGUUUUCGGAUCGUAAAGCUCUGUUGGUAAGGAAGCGGUACUUAACCAGAAAGGGACGGCUAACUACGUGCCAGCAGCCGCGGUAAUAC